CCCGCUGAACUUAAGCAUAUCAAUAAGCAGAGGAAAAGAAACUAACAAGGAUUCCCCUAGUAACUGCGAGUGAAGCGGGAAAAGCUCAAAUUUAAAAUCUGGCGGUCUCGCGGCCGUCCGAGUUGUAAUCUGGAGAAGCGUCUAUCCGCGUCGGACCGUGUACAAGUCUUCUGGAAGGGAGCGUCGUAGAGGGUGAGAAUCCCGUCUUUGACACGGACAACCGAUGCUUUUGUGAUGCGCUCUCGAAGAGUCGAGUUGUUUGGGAAUGCAGCUCAAAAUGGGUGGUAAAUUCCAUCUAAAGCUAAAUAUUGGCGAGAGACCGAUAGCGAACAAGUACCGUGAGGGAAAGAUGAAAAGCACUUUGGAAAGAGAGUCAAACAGUACGUGAAAUUGUUGAAAGGGAAACGUUUGAAGUCAGUCGCGUUGGUUGGGGAUCAGCCUGACAUUGUUGGGUUUACUUCCUGGUCGACGGGCCAACAUCAGUUUUGACUGCCAGAAAAAGGCCAAAGGAAUGUGGCACCUUUGGGUGUGUUAUAGCCAUUGGUCGUAUAUGGUGGUUGGGACUGAGGAAAGCAGCGUGCCGAAAGGCCGGGUUUCGACCACGUUCACGCUGAGGAUGUUGGCAUAAUGGCUUUAAUUGACCCGUCUUGAAACACGG
rnacentral:rRNA from 1 species